UCCGUAGGGUGCAAGCGUUGCCCGGAUUCAUUGGGCGUAAAGCGCGCGCAGGCGGCCUUCCAAGUCCCGCGUGAAAUCGCCCGGCUCAACCGGGCGGGGUCGCGGGAGACUGGGGGGCUCGAGCGAGGGAGGGGGCAGUGGAAUUCCCGGUGUAGUGGUGGAAUGCGUAGAUAUCGGGAGGAACACCAGUGGCGAAGGCGGCUGCCUGGACCUCUGCUGACGCUGAGGCGCGAAAGCGUGGGGAGCGAUCCGG
rnacentral:rRNA from 1 species